AGAGUGCUUCUGCUGAAAAAUUUGGAGGUUUGUGUCUGGAGUUUUGUUCUUUGUAACCCUCUCAUCAUCGAAGCUAUAUAUUAAUAGACAUGGUAUUAAGCCCACACGAAACAUUCAGAAUUAUUAGAAUUGGAUUAAGAAGACGCGUUUUGGCAUCACGCUGACUACUCCUCAUCUCCGUCCUCGGGGAGGGCGAUGCCAGCGUGGGACUCUUUGGAAGGCCUAUCACGGCCCAGGAGCCAAAGCUCAGCCAGCCCGAAGGAGCCAGGAUUAGAGCCUGCAUGGAUGCAACAGCCACGCUUCUCUCUACGACGUGUCUUGCAACUUGGAGUCACAUGAUCUCAGCAUCUGAUCCACCCUGGGCUCAGAACCUCCCAGAACCUCCCAGAAUCGAG
rnacentral:antisense_RNA from 1 species